GGGGCUGUAGCUCAGUGGGAGAGCACUUGCCUAGCACAUGUGAGGCACUGGGUUUGAUCCUUAGCAUCACAUAAAAAUAAAGUAUUGUGUCCAUCCACAACUAAAAAAAUAUUUUUAAAAAAUAAAAAUUAGUCGUGAUUUUAUUUUUAAAUUUAAAAAUGAUAGAAUAGUUCCUCAUUUGAACACUCGUAAAUUCACUAAAAUUUGUAAUCCCAAAAUCAAUGCUUAAGGCAUUUUUCUGGGCAUACACUGGUGAAAAGUUUGAGUCAAACAAUGUGCUCAUUCCUGCUUGGCAACCAUGUUUCUGUUUUCUUUCUCCCAUUCUGUCAGUUAACAUCCCACUAUUUUGAUAGUGUCCUUGAUGCACAAAUGUUUUUCAUGUUGAUGAAGUUCAAUUCUUUCUUUUGGCAACUGCUCUUUGAUGUCAUAUCCAAUAAAUCAUUAUCAAAAUCAGUGUUGGAAACUUUUCCCCACAGGUUUCCUUCUGACUUUUUGCCUUUACCUUUAGUUUUUAACAUAUUUUGCAUUCAUUUUAGUAUAAAAUGAAGGUCCAACUUCAUUCUUUUCAUGUGGACAUCCAGCUUUCCAGACACUAUUUUUGAAAAGACUAUCCUUUCUCAUCUUGAUGUCCUUGUUGAAAAUCAUUUGACCGUACAUAUGAGAGUUUAUUUCCAAGGUCUCCUUUCUAAUCCAUUAGUCUGUAUGUCUGUCUUCUUGACAAUACUGUCCUGUUUGACUACCACAGCCUCGUAGUAAAUUGUGAAAUUGGUACACAAGAUUCCAAAUUUGUUCUCCUUUUAGAUAUUUUUUGACUGUUUGGAGACCCUUGAGAUUCUGUAUGAAAUUCAGGAUGAAUUUUUCUAUUGGGAAAGUCAUUGAGAUUUUUAUAGGAAUUGCAAUGAGUCUGUAGUUCACUUCAGGUAGAAUUGUCAUCUUAACAAUAUUAAGUUUUCCAAUGCAAGAACAUGGAGUUUUUCCAUUUAUUUGUGUCAUUUUAAAAUUCUUUCAGUUCUGUU
rnacentral:lncRNA from 1 species